GUUGAGGGGAAUGUUGUCUGGAUCGAGGAUAUUAUUUACAUACAUGUUGAUACAAGUGAUGAUCAUAUAUGUAUAGAGAGUAACCUCGGACCAGGCUUCAUCCCCCCUAAC
rfam:Arabis alpina cultivar Pajares chromosome 1, whole genome shotgun sequence.